UACGUAGGGAGCAAGCGUUGUCCGGAAUACUGGGCGUAAAGCGUGCGCAGGCGGUUAUGCAAGACAGAUGUGAAAUCCCCGGGCUCAACCUGGGAACUGCAUUUGUGACUGCAUGGCUGGAGUGCGGCAGAGGGGGAUGGAAUUCCGCGUGUAGCAGUGAAAUGCGUAGAUAUGCGGAGGAACACCGAUGGCGAAGGCAAUCCCCUGGGCCUGCACUGACGCUCAUGCACGAAAGCGUGGGGAGCAAACAGG
rnacentral:rRNA from 1 species